rnacentral:rRNA from 1 species
GAUGAACGCUAGCGGCAGGCUUAACACAUGCAAGUCGAGGGGUAACAGAGGUAGCUUGCUACUUGCUGACGACCGGCGCACGGGUGCGUAACGCGUAUAGAACCUACCUUUUACAGGAGAAUAGCCCAGAGAAAUUUGGAUUAAUGCUCCAUAGUAUUAUUGAAUGGCAUCGUUUAAUAAUUAAAGUUUCGGCGGUAAAAGAUGGCUACGCGUUCUAUUAGCUAGUUGGUACGGUAACGGCGUACCAAGGCGACGAUAGAUAGGGGUCCUGAGAGGGAGAUCCCCCACACUGGUACUGAGACACGGACCAGACUCCUACGGGAGGCAGCAGUGAGGAAUAUUGGACAAUGGAGGCAACUCUGAUCCAGCCAUGCCGCGUGCAGGAAGACGGCCCUAUGGGUUGUAAACUGCUUUUAUACGGGAAGAAACCCAACUACGUGUAGUUGGCUGACGGUACCGUAAGAAUAAAGCACCGGCUAACUCCGUGCCAGCAGCCGCGGUAAUGUAGACGU